CCAAUAGCGUAUAUUAAAGUUGUUGCAGUUAAAAAGCUCGUAGUUGAAUUUCGGGAUUUAUCCGUCGGUCGGGCUUUUGGGUCUGUACUGGCGUGAUGGAUUCCUACCUUCUGAAUAACCGGCAUGUCAUUAAUUUGGUUCGCCGGGGAAGCAGGACUGUUACCUUGAAAAAAUUAGAGUGCUUAAAGCAGGCUUAUGCCGGAAUACAUUAGCAUGGAAUAAUGAAAUAGGACGGCAUGGUUCUAUUUUGUUGGUUUCUAGGAUCACCGUAAUGAUUAAUAGGGAUAGUUGGGGGCAUUAGUAUUCAAUUGUCAGAGGUGAAAUUCUUGGAGUUAUUGAAGACUAACUUCUGCGAAAGCAUUUGCCAAGGAUGUUUUCAUUAAUCAAGAACGAAAGUUAGGGGAUCGAAGACGAUCAGAUACCGUCGUAGUCUUAACCAUAAACUAUGCCGACUAGGGAUCGGACGAUGUUAAUUUUUUAAUGACUCGUUCGGCGCCUUACG
rnacentral:rRNA from 1 species